UACGUAGGGUGCGAGCGUUAAUCGGAAUUACUGGGCGUAAAGCGUGCGCAGGCGGCUUUUUAAGCCAGAUGUGAAAUCCCCGGGCUCAACCUGGGACCUGCAUUUGUGACUGCAUAGCUAGAGUACGGUAGAGGGGGAUGGAAUUCCGCGUGUAGCAGUGAAAUGCGUAGAUAUGCGGAGGAACACCGAUGGCGAAGGCAAUCCCCUGGACCUGUACUGACGCUCAUGCACGAAAGCGUGGGGAGCAAACAGG
rnacentral:rRNA from 1 species